rnacentral:tRNA from 1 species
GCCCCCAUCGUCUAGUGGACUAGGACGUCGCCCUUUCACGGCGGUAACACGGGUUCGAAUCCCGUUGGGGGUG